UUUCCUUGCAGUCGAGCGACUGAUUAGAAGCUUGCUUCUAUGACGUUAGCGGCGGACGGGUGAGUAACACGUGGGCAACCUGCCUGUAAGACUGGGAUAACUUCGGGAAACCGAAGCUAAUACCGGAUAGGAUCUUCUCCUUCAUGGGAGAUGAUUGAAAGAUGGUUUCGGCUAUCACUUACAGAUGGGCCCGCGGUGCAUUAGCUAGUUGGUGAGGUAACGGCUCACCAAGGCAACGAUGCAUAGCCGACCUGAGAGGGUGAUCGGCCACACUGGGACUGAGACACGGCCCAGACUCCUACGGGAGGCAGCAGUAGGGAAUCUUCCGCAAUGGACGAAAGUCUGACGGAGCAACGCCGCGUGAGUGAUGAAGGCUUUCGGGUCGUAAAACUCUGUUGUUAGGGAAGAACAAGUACGAGAGUAACUGCUCGUACCUUGACGGUACCUAACCAGAAAGCCACGGCUAACUACGUGCCAGCAGCCGCGGUAAUACGUAGGUGGCAAGCGUUAUCCGGAAUUGUUGGGCGUAAAGCGCGCGCAGGCGGUUUCU
rnacentral:rRNA from 2 species